UACGAAGGGGGCUAGCGUUGCUCGGAAUCACUGGGCGUAAAGGGUGCGUAGGCGGGUCUUUAAGUCAGGGGUGAAAUCCUGGAGCUCAACUCCAGAACUGCCUUUGAUACUGCCGUGCUUGAGGACUGGAGAGGAGACUGGAAUUUACGGUGUAGCAGUGAAAUGCGUAGAGAUCGUAAGGAAGACCAGUGGCGAAGGCGGGUCUCUGGACAGUUCCUGACACUGAGGCACGAAGGCCAGGGGAGCAAACGGG
rnacentral:rRNA from 1 species